CUAUCCAAAAUAUUAUUUAAUUAUUUUCAGAAUUAUUUUCUUUCAAUGUUUAUUCAAAUAGAACUUAAACCCAUCUCAGAAUUUUUAAAUGCUUGAUGACGUCACAUUUAAAACGUGGCAACAUUGGUUUCCCCACUUUGACAGCCAAUGCUUAGUAGAGGGGUACGAAGGAUUCAGCUGUGAACGUGAGCCUUGGAUUGCCAUUGUUUCUCGAGUGUUCGGUCUGAAUCGUAGUGUGCGGGGUCAUUAGACUCAAUUAUUCACCUCUAAUUCUCAGUUCCAAAUUGAUUAAAUAUUACAAUAAAAGUAUAGUGAAGUUAUCCAGCAGCAGUGGAUUUGAAGAAUUUUAGAGCAUACUAUAUCCAAUGAGUUCUACCCCGGUAAAUACACAUUUUAUUAAGUAUUUUAUUCAGCCAUUUUGGAAGUCCUUGACAUUUGCUAACUAAGUUUCACAUAGUCUAUUUUCAUGGUUUUUAUGUUUUAUUUUCAUGGAUCAAACUCAUCUAGAGAUAAUUCAAUAUUCGUUGUUAAUUUGUGCUUCCAGUUGGAAAAUAGAGCUAAUUUAAACUCCAUUUUUUAUAUUCCUUUCAAGUCUACAGAACUCCUAUCUUUUGAACGAUGAUCAAAUAAGUAUCCAUCGCUUAGUCUUACUAUAUUUUAUCCUUGUAUAAUAUAUCUAUAUACCGGUGUAUAUAUUAUAAUAAAAUAUUCUUUCACAGUAAUUAUAUUUUGUAUUUCAAUUGGAAAUUACUUGUGUUAUUUGACCAAGGUCAUCUGAUAGCAACCUGAUAAAAGGUCAAGCUGUCUAGUCAUUCAAGUUUUUGGACUUAAUGACCUAUUUCUUCUUAUUCCCAUAGGAAUAAAAACACCUCCUCGUAUCUCUUGCUUCUUUUUUUUGACAUUGGUAGAUUGGUAGUAACACCACACUGUGUUUUUUUUAGCACCUACCAUGAAAUCUUAAAGCCACCCUACAACAACACCAAGGCCAGACCACACAGAGAGAAACAAUCAAUAGGCGACCAGCCUGGAUUAUUUCCACAUUUUCUUUUUUUUGAGUACCUCCAGCUGCUUUCCAACAGUUUUGAGUACCUUCAGCUGCUUUCUACCAGUCUUCCUCUCCUGUACCUCCAGCAGGACAGCUGCUAGCGAGAGUUAGCACCCUUGGGUGCCCAUUACAUCAACUUCAAGAUUAGGAAAGAGUGGUUUGUUUGGGAACAUUUACUGUGCUCUUAUUAAAGACAGACUGGUUUUGUGAUAUUUAGUACAUUUUUUUUUAUUCAAUUGCACACACAUUUUUCCUGCUUUAUAUUUUUUAUAGGUUUUUUUUCUUUACAACAUAAUAUUUAAUUGAUAGCGUUCCCCAACACUCUGCAAUCUAUAAAGGUAUAAAUUUCUGAGCUCAGAUAUUUUCCCUGAUAAUAGUAGUCGGUACUCUUAUCUUGAUUAUUUUUAGGCUGUGUUCCACUUUUGUAUAAUUAUUUAAACUCAUUCCAUUAUUUUAGUAUAUGUUUAAUUAAAUUUUUAAAAAUUAACUUCACAUAUUAGUCAAAAUUGUAAUUAUUAACUUUAUUUAACUCGAACUUAUUAACUUUACUUAACUUUAACUUAUUAACUUUAUUUAACUUUAACUUUAAUUUAUUAAAUUCAUAUGAACUUCUGGAUUCUAAUCCCUCAGAUUAGUUUUUGGUUUCACUUGUUAUUAUUACUAUUAUAAACCACGAGUUAGGAAAAGGAUCUGUGUAUCCACUCGUAGGUUUAUUUAUUCAAUAAGGCUUGUGCCUGUCCCACUCACAGUGAGGUAUUUAUAUGUUAUAUAUAGUAUCAGGUAGUAUUUAAUUAAGGUGUACGUAUUAUAAACGUACAAUUAUUAUUUGGUGAGGGUUCUACUAACCUAGUUGUAAGUUGUACUUCCUGUAUUAGAGGUACCCGUAGUCAGUUUUUCUAACCUUAUAAAGAGUAUUCUUAGAUCAUAGUUGUAUGAUGAUUUUGUAAUUGACUUUCACUAGUAUCACUUUUUCCUGUCAUGUUAGAGUUACACACUAGUUACUUGUCCUAACUCAGAGAUUGUUAAAAAGAUCUAGUAGUUACAUUCAAUAAAUAUACAUUUAUUGUGA
rnacentral:lncRNA from 1 species